rnacentral:rRNA from 1 species
GAUGAACGCUGGCGGCGUGCCUAAUACAUGCAAGUCGAGCGAACAGAUGAGGAGCUUGCUCCUCUGACGUUAGCGGCGGACGGGUGAGUAACACGUGGAUAACCUACCUAUAAGACUGGGAUAACUUCGGGAAACCGGCGCUAAUACCGGAUAAUAUCUUGAACCGCAUGGUUCAAUAGUGAAAGACGGUUUUGCUGUCACUUCUAGAUGGAUCCGCGCCGCAUUAGCUAGUUGGUAAGGUAACGGCUUACCAAGGCAACGAUGCGUAGCCGACCUGAGAGGGGGAUAGGCCACACGGGAACUGAGACACGGUCCAGACUCCUACGGGAGGCAGCAGUAGGGAAUCUGCCGCAAUGGGCGAAAGCAUGACGGAGCAACGCCGCGUGAGUGAUGAAGGUCUUCGGAUCGUAAAAAUCUGUUAUGAGGGAAGAACAAAUGUGUAAGUAACUAUGCACGGCUUGACGGUACCGAAUCAGAAAGCCACGGCUAACUACGUG